UUGUAAUAUAUAUAUUUUUUUGACCGUGGUGCAAUGAAAUUCUCUUGAAUUUUUUUAAAAAGAACUAGCAAUUUUUAAGCGUCAUUAUGAAAUGUUUUUAACUGUAGAAGGGUCUAUUUUUUUAUUUAUAUAAAAAAUAUUUUUUCAAGUUUGAUAUGCUGCUUUCAACUUGCUGUUAUUUUGUUUUGCUGAGUUCUAUCAAUACUGCUGUAGUACUACUACUAGGCUGCUAACACUUCUAAUUAUAUUGUGUGAUUGUCUUGAAGCAGAAGAAGAUGAUCUUAUCUUGCUUUUAACAAAUUCAUUUCUGAUUUUAAAAAUUUAAUAGGAAAAUACAUUGCUGAAAUGAUAUUGAAUUUUUGUAGAAGGGUUACUAUUGUUUACUAUAAGAUAUGAUUCAAAAGAAAAUCAUUAGAUUUUCAUAAAUGCCGAAAGAUUCUUUUACAAAUAUAUUUUCGAAUGUCACUUAUGUGCAAAAAGAGAAUAUAUUUUCAAGUUUCGAAUAUGGUCUUUGUCAUAUUGUGGGGUUCUCUUAACUUUUAAGAAGAUGUCAAUCUGUGAUUAUCUCCCAAAAAGUAUUUUUAAUUUUAAAAUAUCAAUUUAACAUAUUAUGGUGCACUAGGUGUUAUUGUGAGUAAUGCUUUUAAGUAUUGCCAUGAGAUUUGAAUCAAUGAAUUGACCUUUUGAUUUAUCAAUUAUGCAUCAGAAAAUAAAAUCCAAGUUCAGUUAUACUGUUUGUUUUGAAAGAAAAGAAGCAGGAAAUGCAUUUAGCCCUCGUACAAGUUAGAUAAAUUUCCUUCAUUAAUGUAUUUAACACAUUUUCUACCAGACAUAGAUAAGCUUCCCUUACCUCUUUCCUAACUCUAUUCCAAACAUAGCUUUAGUGCACUGUGGUGAUGUUUCGUAAAUUAUUUUGAAGAUGCUAUUUUAGAAACAGUGCUUCUAAUUGUUGUAUUGAGAUAGAUUGUGGAACUUUUGUCAUCUUGAUUUAUUUUUGAUAUGUUGUUUUGCAAUAGCAUAUUUACUAUUUCUUUGAGAUGUUUCCG
rnacentral:misc_RNA from 1 species